CGCAUGUAGUGGCGGUGGAAAGUUUUUCGGUUGGGGAUGGGCUCGCGGCCUAUCAGCUUGUUGGUGGGGUGAUGGCCUACCAAGGCGACGACGGGUAACCGGCCUGAGAGGGCGACCGGUCACACUGGGACUGAGACACGGCCCAGACUCCUACGGGAGGCAGCAGUGGGGAAUAUUGCGCAAUGGGCGGAAGCCUGACGCAGCGACGCCGCGUGGGGGAUGACGGCCUUCGGGUUGUAAACCUCUUUCAGCAGGGACGAAGCUAACGUGACGGUACCUGCAGAAGAAGCGCCGGCUAACUACGUGCCAGCAGCCGCGGUAAUACGUAGGGCGCAAGCGUUGUCCGGAAUUAUUGGGCGUAAAGAGCUCGUAGGCGGUUUGUCGCGUCUGUCGUGAAAGCCCACGGCUUAACCGUGGGUCUGCGGUGGAUACGGGCAGACUAGAGGCAGGUAGGGGAUAAUGGRAUUCCCGGUGUAGCG
rnacentral:rRNA from 1 species